rnacentral:tRNA from 1 species
GGGGAGAUACCAGAGCGGUCAAAUGGGGCAGACUGUAAAUCUGCUGCGAGAGCUACGAAGGUUCGAAUCCUUCUCUCCCCACCA